GGUCAUGAGUGCCAGCAGAUAGCCCCGGCUUGCUGGCCGGCAACCCUCCAACCGCGGUGGGGUGCCCCGGGUGAAGACCAGGCCCUGCACGCAGUGUGCAGGACAAACGCGGUGC
rnacentral:ncRNA from 2 species